rnacentral:rRNA from 1 species
UACGUAGGGUGCGAGCGUUGUCUGGAAUUAUUGGGCGUAAAGGGCUCGUAGGCGGUUUGUCGCGUCGGGAGUGAAAACCCAGGGCUUAACCCUGGGCUGGCUUCCGAUACGGGCAGACUAGAGGUAUGCAGGGGAGAACGGAAUUCCUGGUGCAGCGGUGAAAUGCGCAGAUAUCAGGAGGAACACCGGUGGCGAAGGCGGGUCUCUGGGCAAUAACUGACGCUGAGGAGCGAAAGCGUGGGGAGCGAACAGG